UGGACCAGUAGUGAUGACCGGUGGUGUGUGGGUUGUGGAUGAUGAGCAAUACCUGUGAGGGUCAAC
rfam:Ailuropoda melanoleuca scaffold117_10, whole genome shotgun sequence.